rnacentral:lncRNA from 1 species
AUGCUGAUUUGUCAUUAUUAUAACAACUUUGUUAUACAUUUUAUAUUUGAAUUUGUGCAUCCCUAUUUGAUUUUAUACAUUUGUACUGUAUGUCUUAAAGACCCCACAGUUACUAAAGCCAAAGCAAAACCUUCAGUGGCAAAGAAAGAGCCAACAGCUGUGAAAGAGAAGUCUAAAAGGACAGAGCGAAUGAUCUCUAAAGAAAAGGCUAAACCUAUCUCUACUAAGAAAGAAGAGAAAGCUGGAAAAGAAGUGAAGCCCAAAGCAGAGGUCAAAAAGAAGGCUGCACCAACACCGAGAGUCAAUCAAGCCACUGAAGAAGUUGUGGCUGAGACACCAGCACCAGCAAAAGAUCUGAAAGCAGAGGAAAAUGUCACGGAGGGGAAAAAGCCAGGCAAGAUACCAUACUUCCAGUGUGUUUUAAUGAGUUCUAAAUCCAGCCAGUAUCCACUGCGGCCCAUGUCCCCAGCUAUGAGUCCAGCUAUUAACCCCACCAUGAUGAGAGCCAUGAUGGAGCAGAGGGCUGCGUUACUGCAUCAGAAAACCUGUGCAGCUGGCCAGUAACUGGACGACAGACCUCGUCCGGCCCUGGCAG